UGUUUGUUGCCUGGUACUCCAUCUAUCCACCAGCAUAAGCUCCCGCGGAGUUGCAGCAGCCGGUCUCCUGGCACGCAGCCUCCCGGGGCCCAGGAUGGCUGGAAUGGCCUUAGUCAUGAGGCUUUUGCAAUUGUUUCAAGGCGGGAUUAUGCAUCAGAAGCAAUCAAGGGAGCAGUUGUUGGUAUUGAUUUGGGUACUACCAACUCCUGCACGGCAGUUAUGGAAGGUAAACAAGCAAAGGUGCUGGAGAAUGCCGAAGGUGCCAGAAUCACCCCUUCAACUGUGGCCUUUACAGCAGAUGGUGAGCGACUUGUUGGAAUGCCGGCCAAGCGACAGGCUGUCACCAACCCAAAGAAUACAUUUUAUGCUACCAAGCGUCUCAUUGGCCGGCAAUAUGAUGAUCCUGAAGUACAGAAAGACAUUAAAAAUGUUCCCUUUAAAAGUGUCCGUGCCUCCAAUGGUGAUGCCUGGGUUGAGGCUCAGGGGAAACUGUAUUCUCCAAGUCAGAUUGGAGUAUUUGUGUUGAUGAAGAUGAAAGAGACUGCAGAGAAUUACUUGGGGCACACAGCAAAAAAUGCUGUGAUCACAGUCCCAGCUUAUUUCAAAGACUCGCAGAGACAGCCACUAAAGAUGCUGGCCAGAUAUCUGAACUGAAUGUGCUUCAGGUGGUUAACGAGCCCACAGCUGCUGCUCUUGCCUAUGUUCUAGACAAAUCAGAAGACAAAGUCGUUGCUGUAUAUGAUUUAGGUGGUGGAACUUUUGAUAUUUCUAUCCUGGAAAUUCAGAAAGAGUAUUCGAGGUGAAAUCCACAAAUGGGGACACUUAGGCGGGGAAGACUGACCAGGCCUUGCACAUUGUGAAGGAGUUCAAGAGAGAGAGAUGGGUUGAUUUGACCAAAGACAACAUGGCACUUCAGAGGGUACGGAAAGCUGCUGAAAAGGCAGACUGACAUCAAUUUGCACUAUCUUACAAUGGAUUCUUCUGGACCCAAGCAUUUGAAUAUGAAGUUGACCCGAAUAUGAAGGGAUUGUCACUGAUCUAAUCAGGAGGACAAUAGCUCCAUGCCAAAAAGCUAUGCAAGAUGCAGAAGUCAGCAAGAGUGAUGUAGGAGAAGUGGUUCUUGUGGGUGGCAUGACUAGGAUGCCCAAGGUUCAGCAGACUGUGCAGGAUCUUUUUGGCAGAGCCCCAAGUAAAGCUGUCAAUCCUGAUGAGGCUGUGGCCAUUGGAGCUGCCAUUCAGGGAGGUGUAUUGGUUGGUGAUGUCACGGACGUGCUGCUCCUUGAUGUCAUUCCCCUGUCUCUGGGUAUUGAAAGUCUAGGAGUUGUCUUUACCAAACUUAUUAAUAGGAAUACCACUAUUCCAACCAAGAAGAGCCAGGUGUUUUCUACUGCCACUGAUGGUCAGACAGAAGUGGAAAUUAGUGUGUCAGCGUGAGCGAGAGAUGACUGGAGACAACAAACUCCUUGGACAGUUUACUUUGAUUGGAAUUCCACCAGCGCCUUGUGGAGUUCUUCAGAUUGAAGUUACAUUUGACAUUGAUGCCAAUGGGAUCACACAUGUUUCUGCUAAAGAUAAAGGCACAGGAUGUGAGCAGCAGAUUACAAUCCAGUCUUCUGGUGGGUAAGCAAAGAUGAUAUUGAAAAUAUGGUUAAAAAUGCAGAGAAAUAUGCUGAGGAAGAUCAGCGAAAGAAGGAACGAGUUGAAGCAGUUAUUAUGACUGAAGGAAUCAUUCAAGACACAGAAACCAAAAUGGAAGAAUUCAAGGACAAAUUGCCUGCUGAUGAGUGCAACAAGCUGAAAGAAGAGAUUUCCAAAAUGAGGGAGCUCCUGGCUAGAAAAGACAGUGAAACAGGAGAAAACAUUACACAGGCAGCAACCGCUCUUCAGCAGGCAUCAUUGAAGCUCUUCGAAAUGGCAUACAAAAAGAUGGCAUCUGAGUGAGAAAGCUCUGGAAGUUCUGGAACUGGGGAACAAAAGGAAGAUCAAAAGGAGGAAAAACAGUAAUAAUAGCAGAAAUUU